rnacentral:rRNA from 1 species
AGUGAACGCUGGCGGCGUGCUUAACACAUGCAAGUCGAACGAGAACGGAUUAUAGCUUGCUAUAAUUGUCAGCUAAGUGGCGCACGGGUGAGUAAUGUAUAGGUAAUAUGCCUCUUACUAAGGGAUAACAAUUGGGAACGAUUGCUAAUACCUUAUAUUCCUUUUUAUCAAAAGAUAAAAAGGGAAAGAUUUAUUGGUAAGAGAUUAGCCUGUAUUGUAUCAGUUAGUUGGUGGGGUAAUGGCCUACCAAGACAAUGACGCAUAACUGGUUUGAGAGGAUGAUCAGUCACACUGGAACUGAGACACGGUCCAGACCCCUACGGGAGGCAGCAGUGGGGAAUAUUGCACAAUGGACGAAAGUCUGAUGCAGCAACGCCGCGUGGAGGAUGACACAUUUCGGUGCGUAAACUCCUUUUAUAUAAGAAGAUAAUGACGGUAUUAUAUGAAUAAGCACCGGCUAACUCCGUGCCAGCCGCCGCCGUAACAC